rnacentral:rRNA from 1 species
UACGAAGGGGGCGAGCGUUGUUCGGAAUUACUGGGCGUAAAGGGCGCGUAGGCGGCCCUCUUUGUCGCGUGUGAAAGCCCCGGGCUCAACCUGGGAACGGCGCGCGAAACGGGGGGGCUGGAGUUCGGGAGAGGAGCGUGGAAUUCCCAGUGUAGAGGUGAAAUUCGUAGAUAUUGGGAAGAACACCGGUGGCGAAGGCG